rnacentral:rRNA from 1 species
UGAGUACGAGCGGCUACGGCCGCGAAGUGGAUGAUGUCAAGCUUCCAAGAAAAGCCCUAUACCCGUUAAGGCAUGAUGGCCUGUACCCGAAACCGACACAGGUGGGGUGGUAGAGAAUACCGAGGGGCGCGAGGUAACUCUCUCUAAGGAACUCGGCAAAAUGGCCCCGUAACUUCGGGAGAAGGGGUGCCACCGCGAGGUGGUCGCAGUGAAGAGGCCCAGGCGACUGUUUACCAAAAACACAGGUCUCCGCUAAGUCGCAAGACGAUGUAUGGGGGCUGACGCCUGCCCAGUGCCGGAAGGUUAAGGAAGCUGGUCAGCGCAAGCGAAGCUGGCGACUGAAGCCCCGGUGAACGGCGGCCGUAACAAUAACGGUCCUAAGGUAGCGAAAUUCCUUGUCGGGUAAGUUCCGACCCGCACGAAAGGCGUAACGAUCUGGGCGCUGUCUCGGAGAGAGGCUCGGCGAAAUAGAAUUGUCUGUGAAGAUGCGGACUACGUGCACCCGGACAGAAAGACCCUAUGAAGCUUUACUGUAGCUUGGUAUUGUGCUCGGGCUCGGAAUGCGCAGGAUAGGUGGGAGGCUUUGAUCCAUUGCUUGCGGGUGAUGGUGAGCCACUGGUGAGAUACCACUCUUUCCGAGCUAGAGUUCUAACAGCAACCCGUUAUCCGGGUGCUGGACAGUAUCAGGUGGGCAGUUUGACUGGGGCGGUCGCCUCCUAAAAGGUAACGGAGGCGCGCAAAGGUCUGCUCAGGCUGGUUGGAAAUCAGCCGACGAGUGUAAAAGCAGAAGCAGGCUUGACUGUGAGACCUACAAGUCGAACAGGGAGGAAACUCGGCUUUAGUGAUCCGACGGUUCUGCGUGGAAGGGCCGUCGCUCAACGGAUAAAAGUUACUCUAAGGAUAACAGGCUGAUCUCCCCCAAGAGUUCACAUCGACGGGGAGGUUUGGCACCUCGAUGUCGGCUCAUCGCAACCUGGGGCUGAAGUCGGUCCCAAGGGUUGGGCUGUUCGCCCAUUAAAGCGGUACGCGAGCUGGGUUCAGAACGUCGUGAGACAGUUCGGUCCAUAUCCGGUGCACGCGCAGGAAUAUUGAGAGGAUUUCUCCCUAGUACGAGAGGACCGGGAGGAACGCACCUCUGGUGUGCCAGUUAUCGUGCCAACGGUAAACGCUGGGUAGCCAUGUGCGGAGUGGAUAACCGCUGAAAGCAUCUAAGUGGGAAGCCCACCUCAAGAUGAGUAUUCCCAUGGCAUAAGCCAGUAAGGUCACGGGAAGAACACCCGUUGAUAGGCUCUACGUGGAAGCGCAGUAAUGUGUGAAGCGGAGGAGUACUAAUAGACCGAGGGCUUGAGC